UUGAAGCUUUUUGUCACAGCUCAAAAAUAUUUCAGUCCAAGAAAAAUUCACUUCAACCCCAUCUCCUGCUGCUCUAGAGAGAGAAAAAAGUCCCUUCUGGAAAGCUUCGAUCUUUCUUUUCUGCUGUUUGUUUGUUAGGGAUUUAAGUGAAGACUCAGAGCUGAAGAGAAAAAGUCCAUGUGCUUUUUCCCCUUUCUACCUUCUUAUGAUUCUCGGACGCUUUUACGGCCAAUUUCGAUAGUGAUAUAUCUUGAAUUGAAGUCGUCGAACAUUGUUUAAACUCCGAGACUUUCCCAGGAAAACAACCUCGUCACAGUCAUCUCGACUCUGCUUCCGUUCAGUUUGAAUAAAGUGUGUGCACAAAAGUGUGUGUAUUUCGAGAUUGAGGGAAGAGUUUGGUUAAGAAGUCGAUCAGCUGUAAUAUGGGUUAUCUUUGUGAUUUCUGUGGGGAACAAAGAUCUAUAAUCUACUGUCGGUCUGAUGCAGCAAGUUUAUGUUUGUCUUGUGAUCGUAAUGUCCAUUCUGCAAAUGCCCUCUCAAAACGUCACUCCAGGACACUUGUUUGUGAAAGAUGCAAUUCUCAGCCAGCUUUCAUUAGAUGUAUUGAGGAAAAAGUAUCCCUUUGCCAGAAUUGUGAUUGGGUGGGGCAUGCUGGUUCAAAUAUAAGUCCUGGACAUAAGAGACAAGCUGUUAAUUGUUACUCUGGAUGCCCUUCAGCUGCAGAACUUUCUUCAAUUUGGUCUUUUCUCUUAGAUUUUCCUUCUGUUGGUGAUUCCACCUGUGAGCAGGGAAUGGGUUCAAUGAGCAUUACUGAUAACAGGUCAAUGGAUUGCCAAGGCCCCCAUGGAAAGAAUAACGUUCAAGAUGCAUCCUUUCUGGGAGAAGCUAGUGAUGUGCAUAAUGUGGAGAUGGAUAAAUCAACAGUUUGGAUGGAGUCGUUAAAUCAUUUACAUGAUCCCAGGCAACAGAAUGUGGAUCAGGCAGCUGGUUCUACUAGCUCUGCUGUGCCCAAGGUUAUCUUACCUGGAGCAAAGGAGAAGGAAGCUGCUGUGUGUGAGGAUGAUGAUUUCUAUGACGUUUUCAAUAUGGAUGAGGUUGACUUGAGCAUCGAAAACUACGAAGAACUAUUUGGUGCAGCUCUUGAUAAUCCACAACUCUUUGGUAAUGACAGUAUUGAGGGGAUAUUUGGCACAAAAGACAUGUCUGCAUCAAACUGUCAGGGUGCUUACGCUGCUGAGGGGUCAUCAAUUGGAGGGGUAAAUGUGAUGCAACCAGCAUGCAGCAAUGCUGCCUCUGCAGAUUCAGUUCUUAGCUGUAAAACAGAUCCCAACUUAUAUUUUGCAAGGCAAGCACACUCGAGUCUCUCAUUUUCUGGCCUUACUGGAGAAAGCAGUGCUGGAGAUUAUCAAGAUUGUGGAGUUUCAUCAAAGCCAAUGAUGGGAGAGCCACCAUGGUACCCUCCGGGUACCGAAAGUUCCAUGCCUCCUACUAGCAGGAACGAUGCUGUCAUGCGUUACAAGGAGAAGAAGAAGGCACGAAAAUUUGAGAAGAAGGUAAGGUAUGCUUCUCGCAAGGCAAGAGCUGAUGUAAGGAGGCGUGUGAAGGGACGAUUUGUCAAGGCUGGUGAUGCCUACGAUUACGAUCCAUUAAGCCCAAGCCGAAGCUGCUGAGUAAAGUCUUUUGCUCUACAUUUUAAGAUACGAGGGAGCAAUACUAAGUUGGAGAUCAUAAAUGGAUGACACCUUCCAGUGAUAGAUUGUUUGGUUGUAUCAGGGGGGUUAUAUUGCCAUGAACAGAUAAAUCAAGACGAAACAUGCUGGUUUCCUCUACUGGCCCUAGAGAGUUUCAGUUGCAUAUCCAUAAUGGAAAGAGAGAUGGAUUUACGACUGCGGUUUUAACAGCUGGUGUGGAUUGUUAAUGUUUACGAGGAAAAGAGAGGUAUCUUUCGUCUUUUUGAGCUUACAUGGUCAGCCUUCUUUGAGGGUGCAAACUGUUUUCACCAUCUCCAGCUUUAUGUAUGAUAAGUGUUCUUCAUGCCUGAAUAUAUUACUGUUUCUUCCUUGGAACCUCUAACUGGACCGCCAAAACAUGGUGAGAUGGCAAAGACUACCUACCUGUUGAAGACUCGAGCAUCAUAUGAUAUUAGUAGGUGAGGUAGUUCACGGGCAGAAGUCCAGUGAUUCAAUGGACUAUAAGACAAGCAGCAGUUUCCCAGAAGGAUGAAUUAUAAGAGCGGGAGAUCUGCUAUAAUAUUGGCCUCUUUUUGUUUCCUUUUUGGAUGACAUUUACAAUCAAGCCAUACAGCUAAAUUGACUAAGCUCUAUAUUCUGCAAAACAACAUUUGCCCAAUGCCUUCCUGCAGAAAUGAUUUCCUGGACCUGGUGGAGAUAAGCUAUCAUCUGAAAUGGCAUUGUUAAGAACAGAUGCUGCAAUAUUUUUCUAAUCUUAGAUCUGGAUUUCGGAUCAUCAGAUGACAGAUCCUCAGAAAGCAUCAUGGCCUUUGUCGAAAACUGAUCAUCCAUAGCUCGGUACUGUCCCUCUAAGUUGCUCCGACGACAAGUUUUCACACUGAAACAAGGAGUAAGAUAAACCAUGCAAGCAGAAAAGUCUGAUGCUGAAGUUACAUUUUCUCUUUUAUAGAGAAAUGUACCUUUAUUCCGUCCUCGCCCUCGCCCUCGUGUCUCAGCCACCACAGUCCUAUAACCAACCACUGUUCGCUUCAUACAUGUCAAUAUUCACCCAACCUUACUCUAAUGACUUGAUAAAAUCAUGAUAUCGUCUAUCAGGAACACAACAAUAAAAAGAUAAGAGUAUUUGGGGAAACAUUUGCUUCCUCACAUUGAUGGCAAAAUGCAUGUUGAGAAACCAAGCAUAGGUUCCCCAGGCCUUUUUAGGCCUUAGUGGCCAGACCAUCAAAUGCAUGUUCCAAGCUCCAAAGUUC